CCCUCUCUUCCCACCUUCGGGCUGGUUUGUCCUGCCUUCCUGUGAGCCAGUAUUCACCCUGAUCUUGGGUUUUGUGCGUCCAGCCUCGGAGUGGUGGUGCUUCACCAAAGGAGAAGCUGUCUCCUGUCCAGGUGAAUGCAGGUGGUAUCAGAUUCUACCUGAGAUUACUCCAGAGGCAAGAAGGCACCUACUCACAGUAGGCUGGCAUCACAGUCCCACAUGCUUACAUAAGAAAUUUUCUGCACACGUAGAUCCAGCCCAGAUCGGAAGGGAACUCCAAAGAUCAUAUGGUGCAAUUUUAUGACAAAAAUGAUGUCAUAAUUGAUUGUCACCCUGCCCAAUUACAUCUUGAAAGCCUCCAGCUGUGAGGACUCCACUCCACCCCUGGGGAUGAUUUUCCUGUGGGUGAUUGUUCUAACUGUAAAAAUAUUUUAAUUUUUUUUCAGUGGAUCAAAAUUAAGCCAUGCAUGUACCUGUAUGGUUUGACCAGGGUUGGUGCAAUAGGUGUCCAGUUGUUGCUGCUUUCGCAGAACCCGCUGCUGUGGGCAUGGCCAAGGACUUCAGCACAUGCCUCUUCCACACGCUGUUUAAUGCUAUUUGCCCCCGGCACAUUCCUUAGCGGCGCAAUGCAACAGUUAUACUUUGUCAUCUGUAGUAUUUCCACCCUAGAAUAUCAAUUUACAGCCCUGCGUUACAGCGUGUCCUCAAAAAGCGAGAAGUGAAAGGAGAGAAGUUAUAUAACUGGUCUGGUGCUGCAGAGCCAGCCAGCCACCAGCAGGAUUUCAUUGCAGGGAUUCCCACCUUCUAAAACAUCUCCUUCUUCCCCAAAAGUCCUGCUACCUCAACCUCUGAGGCAAUUUGCACACUCCAUCUCGAAGUCAGACCACCUUUAUGACCGUGAUGCUCUGCAUCUGACACUGAAGGGAAACUGGAGGGACAAAACUCAGUGGUUAAGGUUUGGGUGAGAGAAGACAGAUUCUUCUGGCCCAUGAUGGAAGAAGAUGAAAGAACUAAUGAGAUUCCCUGGCUGUGCUCAAGGGAAUCCAGGCCACUUGGGGAGAAGAGGAUGGGGCACGCAGUUCCCUCCUAGCUGGAGAGGGUCUUGCUGCCCUGCAGCUUCCAAGCUCAGAGCCUGUGGUACAAUUGGGCUUAGGAUAUCCCUUUAUUCUCCAGUGUACUACCUCAAGAUAUCCAGAAAGUCCAGGAAAAGCUCAUUUCACUAUUUAUGCUUCUCAGGAAACUUGCAUUAACACAAGUUUCUCAUGUCUUAAGGGUUCAAAACCAGGUCCAAAAUAUAAGCAGAAUAUAGGCAUUCUCUCUCUAUUUAGCACUACGUUUAAGACUCAAUACCUGAUAAUAAAUGGCUGUUGGAUUUCAAGUACUGUGGACUUGGUUUGCAUUCCGCAAAGACUUGAACUCUGCAGGGUGACUUUUCAUUUUGGAACUUAGCCAAAGGACACUAAGCUCACAAUUCAGUUGGUUCCAAGAGAGAAAAAGGUCAUUUUCAUGUUUUAUUAAAUAGAUUAAUGAAAACUGUCUAGAAGAUAUGAAGUUUUCUUUAGAAACAUUAUUAUAUUUCAUAUAUAUACUGAGAACAGGCAUA